AAUCAACGCUGGCGGCGUGCCUCAGUCAUGCAAGUCGAACGCGAAAUUUCCCUUCGGGGAGAAAGUAGAGUGGCGCACGGGUGAGUAACACGUAGGUAAUCUACCUUUGGAUGGGGAAUAACACCUAGAAAUCGGUGCUAAUACCGCAUAAUGCAGCGGCACCUAAUGGUGACAGUUGUUAAAGCGGGGGAUCGCAAGACCUCGCGUCUAAAGAGGAGCCUGCGGCGGAUUAGCUAGUUGGUAAGGUAAUGGCUUACCAAGGCGACGAUCCGUAACCGGCCUGAGAGGGCGGUCGGUCACACUGACACUGACAUACGGGUCAGACUCUUACGGGAGGCAGCAGUCGGGAAUUUUGGGCAAUGGGCGAAAGCCUGACCCGGCAACGCCGCGUGAAGGAUGAAAUCCCUCGGGAUGUAAACUUCGCAAGAACGGGAAGAAUAAGCCGGUGUGAAUACCACCGGCGAUGACGGUACCGUUUGUAAGCUCCGGCUAACUCCGUGCCAGCAGCCGCGGUAAUACGGGGGG
rnacentral:rRNA from 1 species